AUUGAACGCUGGCGGCAGGCCUAACACAUGCAAGUCGAGCGGAUGAAGGGAGCUUGCUCCUGGAUUCAGCGGCGGACGGGUGAGUAAUGCCUAGGAAUCUGCCUGGUAGUGGGGGAUAACGUCCGGAAACGGGCGCUAAUACCGCAUACGUCCUGAGGGAGAAAGUGGGGGAUCUUCGGACCUCACGCUAUCAGAUGAGCCUAGGUCGGAUUAGCUAGUUGGUGGGGUAAAGGCCUACCAAGGCGACGAUCCGUAACUGGUCUGAGAGGAUGAUCAGUCACACUGGAAGUGAGACACGGUCCAGACUCCUACGGGAGGCAGCAGUGGGGAAUAUUGGACAAAGGGCGAAAGCCUGAUCCAGCCAUGCCGCGUGUGUGAAGAAGGUCUUCGGAUUGUAAAGCACUUUAAGUUGGGAGGAAGGGCAGUAAGUUAAUACCUUGCUGUUUUGACGUUACCAACAGAAUAAGCACCGGCUAACUUCGUG
rnacentral:rRNA from 1 species